UUUCUCUAUGCAUGUUUAUGUUUUCUCUAUGCAUGUUUAUAUUUUCUCUAUGCAUGUUUGUUUCUCUAUGCAUGUUUAUGUUUUCUCUAUGCAUGUUUAUGUUUUCUCUAUGCAUGUUUAUAUUUUCUCUAUGCAUGUUUGUUUUCUCUAUGCAUGUUUAUGUUUUCUCUAUGCAUGUUUAUGUUUUCUCUAUGCAUGUUUAUAUUUCUCUCUAUGUAUGUUUAUGUUUUCUCUAUGCAUGUUUAUGUUUUCUCUAUGCAUGUUUAUAUUUUCUCUAUGCAUGUUUAUGUUUUCUCUAUGCAUGUUUAUGUUUUCUCUAUGCAUGUUUAUAUUUUCUCUAUGCAUGUUUGUUUUCUCUAUGCAUGUUUAUAUUUUCUCUAUGCAUGUUUAGGUUUUCUCUAUGCAUGUUUAUAUUUUCUCUAUGAU
ensembl:lncRNA